GAUGAACGCUAGCGGGAGGCCUAACACAUGCAAGCCGAGCGGGAUUUGUUGGUUAGCUUGCUAACUAACAAUGAGAGCGGCGUACGGGUGCGUAGCACGUGUGCAACCUGCCUUUAUCUGGGGGAUAGCCUUUCGAAAGGAAGAUUAAUACCCCAUAACAUAUUGAUUGGCAUCAGUUAAUAUUGAAAGCUCUGGCGGAUAGAGAUGGGCACGCGUAAGAUUAGCUAGUUGGUGAGGUAACGGCUCACCAAGGCUGCGAUCUUUAGGGGGCCUGAGAGGGUGAUCCCCCACACUGGUACUGAGACACGGACCAGACUCCUACGGGAGGCAGCAGUGAGGAAUAUUGGACAAUGGGUGAGAGCCUGAUCCAGCCAUCCCGCGUGAAGGACUAAGGACCUAUGGUUUGUAAACUUCUUUUAUACAGGGAUAAACCUACUCUCGUGAGGGUAGCUGAAGGUACUGUAUGAAUAAGCACCGGCUAACUCCGUG
rnacentral:rRNA from 1 species